rnacentral:rRNA from 1 species
UAGGGAAUCUUCCGCAAUGGACGAAAGUCUGACGGAGCAACGCCGCGUGAGUGAUGAAGGUUUUCGGAUCGUAAAACUCCGUUGUUAGGGAAGAACAAGUGCCGGAGUAACUGCCGGCACCAUGACGGUACCUAACCAGAAAGCCACGGCUAACUACGUG